GUGAAUGAUGUGAAGAGGGUCUUUCUGUCGUCACACCUCGACGCAGUUUCUAGUUAGGUUAGAUUAGCUUAGCUUAUUCAGGUC